rnacentral:snoRNA from 1 species
CACAUUUACAUUUACAUUCAAGAACGAGUAUUAUUGUAGUGGAUUUGUGACAAUUCAAGACAAUAUCUUCUCUACAACUCAGUUCGAGAAAAACAUGGUGUGGCAGUUAUGUAUUGGUGGAGCAUGUCAAGCGGUGCCACCGCCAUCUUCCUGCCUUACUCAC